AUGCACGAGUUGCCAUCGGAAUCGAUGGGUUCAAUCCGUUUGGUAUGGUGUCAAAGACAUACAGUUGUUGGCCCGUGUUUGUUGUUGCCCUCAACCUCCCCCCCUGGCGCCCUAAUGCAACGCAAGCACAUGUUCCUGUCGUUGAUAAUUCCAGGGCCCAAGUAUCCGGGGAAGAAUAUAAGUGUGUACAUGCAACCACUGAUAGAUGAGUUGAAAGAAGCUUGGGUGAAUGGGAUACGGACAUACGACGCUGCUAUCAAAAAGAACUUCACAAUGCAUGUUUGGUACCAGUACUCACUUCAUGACUUACCGGCACAUUCACUUUUCAUGGGGUGGUAUGUGCAUGGGAGGUUCCCAUGCCCAAGGUGCAAGGCAAGCAUGCAGUGCCGUUGGUUGCAGCAUGGUCGCAAGUAUUCUUGCUUCGAUUUUCAUAGACAACAUUUGCGUCGUGACCAUCCAUUCAGACAAGACAAGAAGAACUUCAUGAAAGGUGAAGUAGUUGAACACUCGGCACCACCUGAGAUGACGGGUGAACAAAUUCGUGAUCAAAUAAAUGCUCUCCAGCCUGAUCCCAAACGUCCAGGGUAUUUCUUGGGAUAUAACGAAGAACACGCGUGGACUCACAAGCCAUGCUUAUGGGAUCUCCCCUACUUCCACCAACUCGAGUUUCCACAUAAUAUUGAUGUAAUGCACACUGAAAAGAAUAUCGCCGAGGCCAUUUUUGGCACGUUGUUCAACAUUGCUGAGAAGACGAAGUAUAAUACUAAGUCUAGACUUGAUGUAAUGAAGCUAUGUGAUAGACCCGAACAAAACUUGCAACAACCCGAGGGAAAGAAAAACUGGAGGACGCCAAAGGCGAGGUUUGUUCUUACUAGGGAACAAAAGGAGAUACUCAUGUGGUUCAAAACUUUGUUGUCCCCUGAUGGGUUUGCAACGAACCUUAUGAGGGCAGUGAAACUUGAUAAAUUGAAGUUCAACGGGAUGAAGAGUCAUGAUUGGCACAUAUGGCUUGAGUGGUUAAUGUCGGUGAUGAUUCGAGGCUAUAUCCUUGAGGAUGAUUGGGAAGUAUUGGCAGAGCUUACCUAUUUCUUCCGUGUUCUUUGUGCUAAAGAAGUAUCUCCUACUGUGAUAGAUGAGAUGGAAGAACGGGCCCCCGAGUUGCUCUGCAAGCUAGAGAAGAUCUUUCCACCAGGAUUCUUUAACCCGAUGGAACAUAUGAUUUUACACCUCCCUUCCAAGGCAAGAAUGGGUGGCCCUAUGCAGAAUUGUUGGUGCUAUGGACUUGAGAGAAUGCAUAAGACUCUUCGAGCUAAAUGUAGAAAUAAAUGUAGAAUUGAAGCCUCCAUAGCCGAGGCAUUCUUGGCGGAGGAUAUUACAAACUUCACGACAUCAUGCUAUGCGGGCAAUAUUCCAAGCUUGCAUAAUGCAAAGUCUCGAUACAAUACUGGCGACCCUAAACAUGAAUCCAAGGGGGAGUGUUGGGAGCGGAUCGUGGACUAUUGGUGUUCCAAAGAGUAUAGGGCGAAAAACAAAGAUUAUAGAAAUCGACGAGCCGCAAUGCUGGAUCCACCACAUCAUCAAGGCAACUUGAACAUUAUGGAGUUCGGUGAACGUUGGGCAUCUCACCAUAAUGCUCCAUUGGCCAACCUUUUCGUCUCGUAUGCUUUGGCCCAUAAGGCACCAUACAAAACAGCCACGCCUUACGAUGAGAAUGACACAACGUCCGCGUACUCCAGCAAGACCGCCUAA
rnacentral:rRNA from 1 species